UUAAAGGAUAUGACAUAUUAUCAUUAGUUUUUGGUGGAUAAAAAUCCAACUUUACCAUUCCAUUUUCAUCCAACAUACCAGUAAUAUUCGUGUAUGUGGACUGAUUAUCAGUAAUGAGAAUACUAAGACAUCAUUAAAUAACAUAAAUGAUGCUGUUACAAUUGUGGAACAGGAAUCAAUUUAAAAAAAUUUGUAAUAUGCUUUUAGGAACUUACAAAAAGUUUACUUAACUAUUAGAAUUCACUUACUUGGCAUAGAUUGUUGCAGUGAUUUUUGAUUCCUUAAAUGUGAAAUGUUUAGGAGCAUCAAUUAUCACUUCAAAAUUAGGUACCUAAAACUGGGUACUCAGACAAUUCGAUUUCCGCAUUAAAAAUUCCGUAGGUUACAGGUGGA